rnacentral:rRNA from 1 species
AGUAGAAAACAAUUGUGAUUCCCUUAGUAGCGGCGAGCGAACGGGGAACAGCCUAAACCUUUACUGUGUGAUAUCUGCACGGAGUUGCAGUAGGGGUGUUGUAGGAUGUACUGUUUUGUGUUGUGUGACACAGACUGCAGUCAAAAAAUAUUUUAAUAGCAGAAGUCAGCUGGAAAGCUGGAACCAGAGUGGGUGAUAGUCCCGUAAGCGAAAUUAAGAUAUCUGUAGAGUAUAUUCCUGAGUACAACGGGACACGAGAAAUCCUGUUGGAAUCUGGGGGGACCACCCUCCAAGGCUAAAUACGAGAUAGCUACCGAUAGUGAACGAGUACCGUAAGGGAAGUGGUGAAAAGCACCCCGGGAGGGGAGUGAAAUAGACCUGAAACCGUGGAUUUACAAGUGGUCAAAGCGUCCUUGAGACGUGAUGGCGUGCCUUUUGUAGAAUGAGCCUGCGAGUUACGUUAAUAUGCAAGGUUAAGGUAUAGAAGUACCGGAGCCGGAGGGAAACCGAGUCUUAAUAGGGCGAUUUAGUAUGCUGCCGUAGACCCGAAGCCGAGUGAUCUAUUUAUGAGCAGGUUGAAGCUUGAGUAAAAUCAAGUGGAGGACCGAACACUAGUCUGUUGAAAAAGGCAGUGAUGACUUGUGAAUAGGGGUGAAAGGCCAAUCAAACUCGGAGAUAGCUGGUUCUCGUCGAAAUGGUUUUAGGAUCAGCGUGAUAUGAUUUUUGUCGGAGGUAAAGCACUGAUUAGGCUAGGGCCCUUCACCGGGUACCAAACUUAUUCAAACUCUGAAUACCGAUAAACAAAAUAUUGCAGUGAGACUGUGGGUGAUAAGAUCCAUGGUCAAGAGGGAAAGAGCCCAGACCGUCAGCUAAGGUCCCUAAACUAUGCUAAGUGGAGAAGGAAGUUCGAUUGCAAAGACAGCCAGGAGGUUGGCUUAGAAGCAGCCACUCCUUGAAAGAGUGCGUAAUAGCUCACUGGUCGAGUAGUCGAGCGCCUAAAAUGUAACGGGGCUAAGCAUAGUACCGAAGCUACGGAUUCGUAUUUAUACGGAUGGUAGACGAGAGUUGUGUAGGCCGUUGAAGGUGUACUGGGAAGUAUGCUGGAGGUAUCACAAGUUAGAAUGCAGGCAUGAGUAACGAAAAGGAGGGUGAGAUCCCCUCCCGCCGAAAGCCUAAGGGUUCCUGGGUAAAGGUUUUCUUCCCAGGGUGAGUCGGCCCCUAAGACGAGGCUGAAGAGCGUAGUCGAUGGGAAACUGGUUAAUAUUCCAGUACUUCUGUUAAUUUCGAUGGGAUGACGCAUAAGGAGAUUCUAUGCCGGAGAAUGGUAGUUCCGGUCUAAGCAUUAAGGUGUUGAGGUCUAUAGGCAAAUCCGUAGACUGAGCUGAGAUGUUAAAGGUAGCGACCUUACGGGGAAGCGAAGAUAGAGGAUUCAUCGUGCCAGGAAAUAAUCUCUAAGGUUCGAUUAACAGGAACCGUACCGCAAACCGACACAGGUAGGCGAGCUGAGUAUGCUAAGGCGUACGGGAUAACUCGGGUUAAGGAACUCGGCAAAUUACAUACGUAACUUAGGGAGAAGUAUGGCCUACUCCGCGAGGAGAGGUUGCAAAAAAUUGGUCCAAUCGACUGUUUACCAAAAACACAGGUCUCUGCGAAAUCGUAAGAUGAAGUAUAGGGACUGACACCUGCCCGGUGCCGGAAGGUUAAGAGGAGUUGUUAGAGUUUACUCGAAGCAGCGAAUUGAAGCCCCGGUAAACGGCGGCCGUAACUAUAACGGUCCUAAGGUAGCGAAAUUCCUUGUCGGGUAAGUUCCGACCCGCACGAAUGGUGUAACGAAUUGGACGCUGUCUCAACCCGAGACCCGGUGAAAUUAAAGUAUCGGUGAAGAUGCCGAUUACAUGUGGUUAGACGGAAAGACCCCGUGAACCUUUACUACAGCCUGAUAUUGAAAUUUGUUUAAACAUGUGUAGGAUAGGUGGGAGACUAUGACUACUGGUCGUUAGGCUGGUACGAGUCGUUGGUGAAAUACCACCCUUGUUUAAAUAGGUUUCUAACAGUAGCCGUUAUCCGGUUAUUGGACAAUGUCUGGUGGGUAGUUUGACUGGGGCGGUCGCCUCCUAAAGAGUAACGGAGGCGCGCAAAGGUUACCUUGAUCUGGUUGGAAAUCAGAUUUAAAGUGCAAAGGCAGAAGGUAGCUUGA